ACCACUGGCGGCCCCACAUGGAGAUGAUUAGGCGGUGGGUGGAGCUGAAGUAUGUGAACAGACUGAUGACAGAAUGUGACUUCCAUCAGUGCAAGUAUGUUGAAAUCAACCAUGCGGUGGAGAAGAACCAAUCCCUGAAGUUUGAUUUAGACAGGAGGAAUGUAGAUGAGGAGCUCGCGGGGCGUGCUGGAGCCUAUCCCAGCUGUCUUCGAGCAGUAAGCCGAGGACACCCUUAACUGGUUCCAAGCCAAUCGCAGGGCACACAUAGACAAACAACCAUCUGCGCUAACACUCACACCUAGGGACAAUUUAGAACAGCGGUGCCAAUACGUUGAUUGUGAUGGACCGGUAGCUUGCGGACUGGUCCCAAGUCCGAGGGGUAUAAAGGGGGAGAAAAAAAACACAAAAUAAAAACCUGAAAACA